GACAGAGGUCCCGAGCGUUAGGCGGAAUCACUGGGCUUAAAGCGUGUGUAGGCGGAUUUGUAAGUACCUUGUGAAAUCCCACGGCUCAACCGUGGAACUGCUUGGUAUACUGCUUAUCUUGGGCCACUUAGGGGUUACCGGAACAAACGGUGGAGCGGUGAAAUGCGUAGAUAUCGUUUGGAACGCCAAUGGUGAAAACAGGUAACUGGGAGUGUGCCGACGCUGAGACACGAAAGCUAGGGGAGCGAACGGG
rnacentral:rRNA from 1 species